AGAGUUUGAUCCUGGCUCAGGAUGAACGCUGGCGGCGUGCCUAAUACAUGCAAGUCGAACGCACUGUGGUUCAACUGAUUUGAAGAGCUUGCUCUGAUAUGACGAUGAACAUUGCAGUGAGUGGCGAACGGGUGAAUAACACGUGGGAAACCUACCUCUUAGCGGGGGAUAACAUCUGGAAACAGAUGCUAAUACCGCAUAACACUAGCAACCGCAUGGUUGCUACUUGAAAGAUGGUUCUGCUAUCACUAAGAGAUGGUCCCGCGGCGCAUUAGUUAGUUGGUGAGGUAAUGGCUCACCAAGACGAUGAUGCGUAGCCGAGUUGAGAGACUGAUCGGCCACAAUGGGACUGAGACACGGCCCAUACUCCUACGGGAGGCAGCAGUAGGGAAUCUUCCACAAUGGACGAAAGUCUGAUGGAGCAACGCCGCGUGUGUGAUGAAGGGUCUCGGCUCGUAAAACACUGUUGUAAGAGAAGAAUAGCAUCAAGAGUAACUGCUUGGUGUGUGACGGUAUCUUACCAGAAAGGAACGGCUAAAUACGUGCCAGCAGCCGCGGUAAUACGUAUGUUCCAAGCGUUAUCCGGAUUUAUUGGGCGUAAAGCGAGCGCAGACGGUUUUUUAAGUCCGAAGUGAAAGCCCACAGCUUAACUGUGGAAGUGCUUUGGAAACUGGAUGACUUGAGUGCAGUAGAGGAGAGUGGAAUUCCAUGUGUAGCGGUGAAUGCGUAGAUAUAUGGAGGAUCAUCAGUGACGACGGCGGCUCUCUGGACUGUAACUGACGUUGAGGCUCGAAAG
rnacentral:rRNA from 1 species